UCCAGACUCCUACGGGAGGCAGCAGUGGGGAAUAUUGGGCAAUGGACGCAAGUCUGACCCAGCAACGCCGCGUGAAGGAAGAAGGCUUUCGGGUUGUAAACUUCUUUUAAGGGGGAAGAGCAGAAGACGGUACCCCUUGAAUAAGCCACGGCUAACUACGUGCCAGCAGCCGCGGUAAUACGUAGGUGGCAAGCGUUGUCCGGAUUUACUGGGCGUGAAGGGGGCGCAGGCGGCGCGCCAAGCCCGAUGUGAAAGCCCGGGGCUCAACCCCGGGACUGCAUUGGGAACUGGCGUGCUGGAGUGCCGGAGGGGCAGGCGGAAUUCCUGGUGUAGCGGUGAAAUGCGUAGAUAUCAGGAGGAACACCGGUGGCGAAGGCGGCCUGCUGGACGGAUACUGACGCUGAGGCCCGAAAGCGUGGGGAGCGAACAGGAUUAGAUACCCCUGUAAA
rnacentral:rRNA from 1 species